UCUGGGCACACCUUUAAAAGACAUGAAGAAACUGGAGGAAGUGAGGAGGAGGACAUCGAAAAUGAUCAAGGAGGCAAGGGCAGGAGUGCCAUCCAAGGAUAGAUCAAAAUGGACCCCUUUGUUCUGGAAAUGUAAAGGCCAUUUUCAAAUCUACCUCAGAAAUGAAGUUGUUUGAGUUACUUGGACAUCUGAAUUCACUGAAGACAAGGCUGAAGAGGAGCUUGUUCUAAAACCAGUUCAUCUGUUCAUCCGCAGAGGAGCAUACGGACAGGGCCAAUCGCUGAAGAAAAACCAACAGGAUCCUAAAACUUGAGGAAGGUCCUCAGGGGUGGGGACUACAUGUCACACUCCUCUCAGAAGACCAAAGCAACUUGAACUAGAAGAAUUCAGAACAUACACUGUGUACCUGGAAAAUAAGCCCCUUUCUGAAGAGGGAAGUGGAUUUCAACUUGAACUAAAGACGGGCUUUGUAACAGCAGAGCUCCUCAACAAGACGACGGAAUGUGAUGCUGCAGUGAGCAAUGCUAAGUCCCCCUCUCUGGAUGGAGACACAGGCUGACCUCUCCGUUUAAGGGCAAUGGAGGGGACCUAUGUAUCAGGAUCUGGUUGACUACCCAGAGAGGCUGAAGAUGGAAGGAGCACCUGCCAUAUGCAUUCCUUGGGCAGAGCUCAUCUUUCUAGAUGCAGGACCCCUGGGGAAAGAAAUAAUGCAGACUUCCUGGAGAAAGCCCACAUUCGCUCAUCCUCAAACCUGCUGUGCAAAAGCUACGUGGGGACCCUGGGGCUAGCCCUCAGAUGUCCUCUCAGGAUUGCUCCCUUCUCAGCACAGCCAGACAUCUCUACCUCUGGUGUGGUCUGAGCUCUUCCUAAGGUCUGGGACAAUAACCACAGUCCCCAAAGGAUUUUCUCCUUUAUUCUAUCA